rnacentral:tRNA from 1 species
GCGGGAGUAGCUCAGUGGUAGAGCACAACCUUGCCAAGGUUGGGGCCGCGGGUUCGACCCCCGUCUCCCGCU